GCUAACCCCUGCGUAUAUAUUCAAGUGUAUAAAUUCAGGAUGAGAUGAUUAGGAAAGAAUGCUUUUGCUGAUUUCAUAGUAUUUAGUGACAGCUUCAAAAGCGGCAGCAAGAGCAUUUUAGUAUUUGAGAUGAUCGGUGGCUUACUGUUGAGUGCACGGACCACUGGGUUUUGCAUGAUUUCUCUUCAGGGUUCAUUUUUGUUUUCGGGGAUAUGGAUUUCAUAACUUAUUCUGCAUAUAUGACGUGUAUAAGGGUACAAGGAUAAAUGUCUUUGGGGGUUUUCAGAUUUUGAGGGUUGAUGGUGUAACAUGGGGAUUUUUAUAGAAUUGUAUAGGUUGUGAGACGGACUCUUUUUGAAUUAGUCUCAUAAAAUUGUUCUCGAGAUAGAAGUUGCUUUGUAUCUAAAGAUGUGGUAUGUAAAUUGAAUCAUGGUACUGUUAGAAGUAAAAGAAAGAUCUACCAACUAAUAGUGGGAC
rnacentral:misc_RNA from 1 species